UUCCAGGUAGCUUAAUGGUAAAGCACCCAACCGGCAAUUGGGGGAUCUAGGUUCAAGUCUCGGCCCGGGCU
rnacentral:tRNA from 1 species